rnacentral:rRNA from 1 species
AGCUCCAAUAGCGUAUAUUAAAGUUGUUGCAGUUAAAAAGCUCGUAGUUGGAUUUCUGGUGGGAGCGAUCGGUCUGGCGCUUAGCGCGAGUACUUGCAUCGUCUCCGGCCAUCCUUGGGGAGAGUCUGUCUGGCAUUAGGUUGUCGGGCAGAGGAUCCUCAUCGUUUACUGUGAAAAAAUUAGAGUGUUCAAAGCAGGCUUAUGCCGUUGAAUAUAUUAGCAUGGAAUAAUAAGAUAGGACUUUGGUACUAUUUUGUUGGUUUGCGCACCAAAGUAAUGAUUAAUAGGGACAGUUGGGGGUAUUCGUAUUCCGUUGUCAGAGGUGAAAUUCUUGGAUUUACGGAAGACGAACUACUGCGAAAGCAUUUACCAAGGAUGUUUUCAUUAAUCAAGAACGAAA